rnacentral:tRNA from 1 species
GGCUUCGCAGUUCAGCCGGUAGAGCGAUUGCGUGUCGUUUGGGCAUGCUGUUUUUGUCGUUGGUUCGGAUCCAACCGAAGCCC